UACGUAGGGUGCGAGCGUUGUCCGGAAUUACUGGGCGUAAAGAGCUCGUAGGUGGUUUGUCGCGUUGUUCGUGAAAACUCACAGCUUAACUGUGGGCGUGCGGGCGAUACGGGCAGACUGGAGUACUGCAGGGGAGACUGGAAUUCCUGGUGUAGCGGUGGAAUGCGCAGAUAUCUGGAAGAACACCGGUGGCGAAGGCGGUGGUCUGGGCCGUUACUGACGCUGAGGAGCGAAAGCCAGGGGAGCGAACGGG
rnacentral:rRNA from 1 species